GUGAAGGAGUGCUAGCUGAGAGGAAGUGGGGAAACCAGGAAGAAAAGUGCUCAAUGAAUAGCCUCAGAUGACCGGGGGGACGGUAGAGGAUAGUAAUUCUUAAAGAAGUGGGUUUAAAUAGGCGGACAGUGUGAACUUCAAAAGAAGAAAAGGAUAGGGCAGAGGGAGUUAUGAUUGGUUGAAAGGUACAUUGAGUCUGGAAGUGUGAGAGAAUUGUAG